CAGCUCACCCCCUGAUACCUAGGGGUUGUUUCAGCUUGGACCCCAUCUAUUCAACACAUUUCAAAACGCUGGAUGGUGUCAAGACAGGUAGGUUCAUGUCGAAAGUUGCCCUCCAUUCUCUAGUAAUUUGGAUCGAUAGGUAGUUUGAUGCCCUUGCCAGCAGCAUGAACUAUUGUCCUUUUAUUUUUUACCUGACCGAGUGAGAAACUGACCCAAAGGCCCUGCUCAUUUGUGAUGUCUGCUGUCCGUCUCUCCCUUUGUGCUCGGGAUGAGGAAGAAUUGGACUCCGCCGCUAUGGUAUCUAAUCUACAACACUCACCUAACAUAGCUCACCCAGCAAUCACUACCCCA
rnacentral:sRNA from 1 species